rnacentral:rRNA from 1 species
AGCGAACGCUGGUGGCAGGCCUAACACAUGCAAGUCGAACGAACUCUUCGGAGUUAGUGGCGGACGGGUGAGUAACACGUGGGAACGUGCCUUUAGGUUCGGAAUAACUCAGGGAAACUUGUGCUAAUACCGGAUGUGCCCUUCGGGGGAAAGAUUUAUCGCCUUUAGAGCGGCCCGCGUCUGAUUAGCUAGUUGGUGAGGUAAAGGCUCACCAAGGCGACGAUCAGUAGCUGGUCUGAGAGGAUGAUCAGCCACAUUGGGACUGAGACACGGCGCAAACUCCUACGGGAGGCAGCAGUGGGGAAUCUUGCGCAAUGGGCGAAAGCCUGACGCAGCCAUGCCGCGUGAAUGAUGAAGGUCUUAGGAUUGUAAAAUUCUUUCACCGGGGACGAUAAUGACGGUACCCGGAGAAGAAGCCCCGGCUAACUUCGUGCCAGCCGCCGCGGUAACAC